GCCUAACACAUGCAAGUCGAGGGGCAGCACAUGAGUAGCAAUACGAUGGUGGCGACCGGCGCACGGGUGAGUAACACGUAUGCAACCUACCUUUAACAGAGGAAUAACCCGUUGAAAAACGGACUAAUACUCCAUAACACAGGGGUCCCGCAUGGGAAUAUUUGUUAAAGAUUUAUCGGUUGAAGAUGGGCAUGCGUUCCAUUAGCUUGUUGGUGAGGUAACGGCUCACCAAGGCUACGAUGGAUAGGGGAACUGAGAGGUUUAUCCCCCACACUGGAACUGAGACACGGCCCAGACUCCUACGGGAGGCAGCAGUGGGGAAUAUUGCACAAUGGGGGAAACCCUGAUGCAGCAACGCCGCGUGAGUGAUGACGGCCUUCGGGUUGUAAAGCUCUGUCUUCAGGGACGAUAAUGACGGUACCUGAGGAGGAAGCCACGGCUAACUACGUGCCAGCAGCCGCGGUAAUACGUAGGUGGCGAGCGUUGUCCGGAUUUACUGGGCGUAAAGGGAGCGUAGGCGGAUUUUUAAGUGAGAUGUGAAAUACUCGGGCUUAACCUGAGUGCUGCAUUUCAAACUGGAAGUCUAGAGUGCAGGAGAGGAGAAGGGAAUUCCUAGUGUAGCGGUGAAAUGCGUAGAGAUUAGGAAGAACACCAGUGGCGAAGGCGCUUCUCUGGACUGUAACUGACGCUGAGGCUCGAAAGCGUGGGGAGCAAACAAGGAUAAGAUACCCUGGUAAUCCACCCCGUAAAACGAUGAAUACUAGGUGUAGGGGUUGUCAUGACCUCUGUGCCGCCGCUAACGCAUUAAGUAUUCCGCCUGGGGAGUACGGUCGCAAGAUUAAAACUCAAAGGAAUUGACGGGGGCCCGCACAAGCAGCGGAGCAUGUGGUUUAAUUCGAAGCAACGCGAAGAACCUUACCUAGACUUGACAUCUCCUGCAUUACUCUUAAUCGAGGAAGUCCCUUCGGGGACAGGAUGACAGGUGGUGCAUGGUUGUCGUCAGCUCGUGUCGUGAGAUGUUGGGUUAAGUCCCGCAACGAGCGCAACCCUUAUUGUUAGUUGCCAUCAUUAAGUUGGGCACUCUAGCGAGACUGCCCGGGUUAACCGGGAGGAAGGUGGGGAUGACGUCAAAUCAUCAUGCCCCUUAUGUCUAGGGCUACACACGUGCUACAAUGGUCGGUACAAUAAGACGCAAGCCCGCGAGGGGGAGCAAAACUGGAAAACCGAUCUCAGUUCGGAUUGUAGGCUGAAACUCGCCUACAUGAAGCUGGAGUUGCUAGUAAUCGCGAAUCAGCAUGUCGCGGUGAAUACGUUCCCGGGC
rnacentral:rRNA from 1 species